AUUGAACGCUGGCGGCAGGCCUAACACAUGCAAGUCGAGCGGCAGCGGAAAGUAGCUUGCUACUUUGCCGGCGAGCGGCGGACGGGUGGAGUAAUGUCUGGGAAACUGCCUGAUGGAGGGGGAUAACUACUGGAAACGGUAGCUAAUACCGCAUGACCUCGAAAGAGCAAAGUGGGGGAUCUUCGGACCUCACGCCAUCGGAUGUGCCCAGAUGGGAUUAGCUAGUAGGUGAGGUAAUGGCUCACCUAGGCGACGAUCCCUAGCUGGUCUGAGAGGAUGACCAGCCACACUGGAACUGAGACACGGUCCAGACUCCUACGGGAGGCAGCAGUGGGGAAUAUUGCACAAUGGGCGCAAGCCUGAUGCAGCCAUGCCGCGUGUGUGAAGAAGGCCUUAGGGUUGUAAAGCACUUUCAGCGAGGAGGAAGGCAUCAUACUUAAUACGUGUGGUGAUUGACGUUACUCGCAGAAGAAGCACCGGCUAACUCCGUGCCAGCAGCCGCGGUAAUACGGAGGGUGCAAGCGUUAAUCGGAAUUACUGGGCGUAAAGCGCACGCAGGCGGUUUGUUAAGUCAGAUGUGAAAUCCCCGCGCUUAACGUGGGAACUGCAUUUGAAACUGGCAAGCUAGAGUCUUGUAGAGGGGGGUAGAAUUCCAGGUGUAGCGGUGAAAUGCGUAGAGAUCUGGAGGAAUACUGGUGGCGAAGGCGGCCCCCUGGACAAAGACUGACGCUCAGGUGCGAAAGCGUGGGGAGCAAACGGG
rnacentral:rRNA from 1 species